CGCAGGGUAGAGCAGUCCGGUAGCUCGCUUGGCUCAUAACCAAGAGGUCGCGGGUUCGAAUCCCGCUCCUGCAU
rnacentral:tRNA from 1 species